AGUGAACGCUGGCGGUAGGCCUAACACAUGCAAGUCGAACGGCAGCACAGUAAGAGCUUGCUCUUACGGGUGGCGAGUGGCGGACGGGUGAGGAAUACAUCGGAAUCUACUUUUUCGUGGGGGAUAACGUAGGGAAACUUACGCUAAUACCGCAUACGACCUACGGGUGAAAGCAGGGGAUCUUCGGACCUUGCGCGAUUGAAUGAGCCGAUGUCGGAUUAGCUAGUUGGCGGGGUAAAGGCCCACCAAGGCGACGAUCCGUAGCCGGUCUGAGAGGAUGGUCAGCCACAUUGGAACGGAGACACGGUCCAGACUCCUACGGGAGGCAGCAGUGGGGAAUAUUGGACAAUGGGCGCAAGCCUGAUCCAGCCAUACCGCGUGGGUGAAGAAGGCCUUCGGGUUGUAAAGACCUUUUGUUGGGAAAGAAAAGCAGCAGGUUAAUACGCCGCUGUUCUGACGGUACCCAAAGAAUAAGCACCGGCUAACUUCGUG
rnacentral:rRNA from 1 species